rnacentral:rRNA from 1 species
GUGGGGAAUAUUGCACAAUGGGGGAAACCCUGAUGCAGCCAUGCCGCGUGUGUGAAGAAGGCCUUCGGGUUGUAAAGCACUUUCAGCGAGGAGGAAAGGUUGGUAGCUAAUAACUGCCAGCUGUGACGUUACUCGCAGAAGAAGCACCGGCUAACUCCGUGCCAGCAGCCGCGGUAAUACGGAGGGUGCAAGCGUUAAUCGGAAUUACUGGGCGUAAAGCGCACGCAGGCGGUUGGAUAAGUUAGAUGUGAAAGCCCCGGGCUCAACCUGGGAAUUGCAUUUAAAACUGUCCAGCUAGAGUCUUGUAGAGGGGGGUAGAAUUCCAGGUGUAGCGGUGAAAUGCGUAGAGAUCUGGAGGAAUACCGGUGGCGAAGGCGGCCCCCUGGACAAAGACUGACGCUCAGGUGCGAAAGCGUGGGGAGCAAACAGGAUUAGAAACCCGAGUAGUCC